UACGAAGGGGGCUAGCGUUGUUCGGAAUUACUGGGCGUAAAGCGCACGUAGGCGGAUAUUUAAGUCAGGGGUGAAAUCCCGGGGCUCAACCCCGGAACUGCCUUUGAUACUGGGUAUCUCGAGUCCGAGAGAGGUGAGUGGAAUUCCGAGUGUAGAGGUGAAAUUCGUAGAUAUUCGGAGGAACACCAGUGGCGAAGGCGGCUCACUGGCUCGGUACUGACGCUGAGGUGCGAAAGCUAGGGGGAGCAAACGGGG
rnacentral:rRNA from 1 species